AUUGAACGCUGGCGGCAGGCCUAACACAUGCAAGUCGAGCGAGCGGCGGACGGGUGAGUAAUGUAUGGGGACUGCCCGAUAGAGGGGGAUAACUACUGGAAACGGUGGCUAAUACCGCAUACUAUCGGAUAACCCAUAUGGGAUUAGCUAGUAGGUGGGGUAAGGGCUCACCUAGGCGACGAUCUCUAGCUGGUCUGAGAGGAUGAUGAGCCACACUGGGACUAAGACACGGCCCAGCUUCCUACGGGGGCAGCAGGGGGAAAUAUGGCACAAUGGGCGAAAGCCUAAUGCAGCCAUGCCAGGUGUAUGAAGAAGGCCUUAGGUUUGUAAAGUACUUUCGGCGGGGAGACGUUACCCGCAGAAGAAGCACCGGCUAACUCCGUGCCAGCAGCGCGGUAAUAC
rnacentral:rRNA from 1 species